UGAGUGACCAUCAACUUUUCUACAGGUCAUGGGACACAGAGCUACCUUGCUAUUUUCUGCCCUGAGUUACGUGGGUAAAACAUGAUACAGGGCUUGAUGCUGAAUGCUUAAACACAUAGUGGAUGAAGUCCUAUGGGCUACAUUUCUUUAGGCCAAGAGGGGACAGUCCUUUUACGAACAUGCAUAAGUCAGCUAUGCUACUGUGCCACUUCAGUUGCUUCCAGCUAUAAGCAGAAAUCCAGAGGCUGUUUGAAAUUCAUGAACCAGAUGCUUAUGAACCUUUUUUCAGAGAAGUCAAGUUGCAAGUGCCAGUAAAUAGCUGAUAAAGUAGAAGCAACUUCUGUGCCACUGUUGAUGGACAGCAGGGGAAAGCAGAAGGAAAUAUUAAGUAAGAAAUUAUUAGUUGGUGAAGGGGGGAAAAAAGAAGGAAUCUUUUCAUUUCCUUUAAGCUUGCUCAUUUCUUGAAUUUAGCACAGCUAACCUGAAAUAUAUAUUUUUUAAACUCUGCUUCUCAUUUGCUUUUGCAUUGCUUUCAUCUUGAGUGUGAAAUUCCAAGUUACUGUGAAAAAGCUGCCCUAGGAAUAUUCUUGGCAAUACUGCAAGCAGAAAGUACAGGAAACCUCACAAGAGAGUUUGUUCCAGAAACACUGCCAUCCACGUUUCACAGCUGCAAGGACAUUCAAAGUAAAUCUAAACACCCUCCUUUCCCUUACACAAAAUCUUGCUGAAGUAAAAGCACCUAGGACCACAAAAGUUUAAUUAAGCUAUGGCACAAUCACAAUCUGCUGAAAUAAAGGGGGAAAAAAGUCAUCCAUGAAUAAACUUUCACAAACUAAACUGGGGCCAAGAUAGUAUAACCCAGUUACUGCAUGUCACGCUGGCCGGCAGGCAAAGCAGGAAAGCAAAGGGGAAAUAUUUUUAUAAGCACACAUUUCUCUGCCAUUUCUUGUAGCCACUUUUGGCAAAUAUCAGUAAGUGAAGAAGAGCUGGUGCAAUAAUGACUGUUGGAAAGAGGAAGGCAGCAUUGUCUCUCAUUGACCUCAAGCGCUGUUUCAUACCACCACUUCUGUUCUGUUGUGCCAGUGAUGCUUUUUAGGAUGCGCUGCUUAUAAUGGAUCAUGGGGUAACUUUCUGAAAGUGUAUUUAAGUGAAGAAACAGAGGGUAUACAUUUAUGGGGUAGUUAACCCUUCAAUACUCUUACAGGAGGCAUCAGUUAACUACUAAGUGUUACUGCACAGGUAUAUUGGAUUCAAAAGGCAAUAAAAUUAAGUCUGUCUCUGGUUCAAGAUCUUAACUAUCAGCUUAAGCUCUUAUGUCCCAUCUAAAACAUCUGUGAGACAGAAAGGGUCCUGACACCCCUUUUUGACCUGGAGAAUAUUCCAAAGAACACAACACAGAGGACACGUAAGGCCGUAUCGUGAAGACCUGGCUUCAAGCCCUCUUGAACAGGCCAAGCCAUGUUGAUUCUGCCAUUAAAAUACAGAAACCUUCCGUGCUGAAACAGUAUUAGAGUUUAAAGGGAAUAAACGUGAUUCAGAGCUUCAUUAGCUGAUUUUACCUUGUGUUUAACUGCUGUCUUCCUUGAAUGGCACAGAAACUCAGCUUUGGCUUUUAUGUAGUGUGCUAGUUUUCAAUAUCCUCCUCAGGCUUUCCCUAAAGGAAAGGUAAUACUGCCAAAGAUAUAUGGAGAAAUACACUGGUAUGGUUGCUUUUCUGUUUGUUUUUAAUGCCAAGUUUUGCUUCAAGCUUGCUGUGUAACUAACACUUUUAAGUUCAUUAUUUUUAGAAUUAUUUUGCUUUUAGGCAGUAGAUGUCUUCUUACUCAUUUCUUGAUAUUACUGAUUUUUUCUCAUUUAUUGGAAUUGACAAAUCUUUGUUUCUAAUCCUGGCAAAUGUAAUAACCAUGUUACCCUGAAUUUGCUAUUCAACCCACUUGUAUUCAUUUAGGGAAAAUUAUCCAAGAGGCCUGCUACAGUUUAAAAAAAUCAAUAUAGCAGCAUGAAUGUGUAUAUGUGUGAACAGUGAGACAUAUCAGGAAAUAUUUUAUCAGUCAUCUUUAGGUAGAACUCCAACUUAUUAUUUUGUAAAACAUAAUAUUGGAAUAAUUAUUUGGGACCGAUAUCACCAGUAAAAUUAAGUGCUGAGUAAAACUUCUGUGAAAAUGUGGAAAUCUGGCUCAAUAAAUUAGAUUGCUUUAGUACUAACAAGAAAAAAAAAAAAAAAAAAAAAAAAAAAAAAAAAAACAGUAAAUGGACAAAUUCUAGGCUGGUGAAUUUACUGUAAGUAAAAUGUAAUUUCUAAGUAAGAAUGGGCUGAUGGGCUAGAGUCUAACUGGCACAGUGUCCAGAAACAAAAAGCUGGCCUCAGUGUUAACAGUAAAUCAAGUAUAGAAGUAUGAUUUUGGUACAGCUCUGUUCCAGCUUUUGAGAAUAAAGCGCUGACUCUAGCAAGGCAUCUUGGAGCCUGCGUUUGCUUUGUGAUGCCUCUGCUCCAGGUUGGUUCAGAGGGAAGUUAACUAAUAGCAAUGAAUCUAACUAAGCUAGGUGAAAGGAUUGUGUCAAACUCUGUAGUAAGUAUAAAUGGAAGAAAAGUGAACUAAUAUGCUUCUAAGACAGCGUGUGCAAAUAUUUUAAACCUAUGAAAAAGUAUAAACGUGUUCUUGAGGUGUUACAAGAAUAGGAGAUACAAUUUUCUUGCAAAGAAUAACUUUCAAUAAGAAUAUAGUAAUCAUGUAAAAGGGGGAAAUAUUAAAUUCUUGAUUGCACUAAAUAAUCCUCGUUAAGAAUUUUCCUGAUUAUCAUGACCUUUUCUUUUUCUGACUUAGCUGAUCUGUGUGUGGUGAGUUACUAGUUGAAUUGGGUGUUUAAGAAAUAAAUAAAUAAAACAACCAACCAACAAAAAAAAAUAAAAAAAAUAAAUAAAAAAACAACCCAAAUCUUUUGGAAUGGCUUAAGAGUGAAAACAGAUGACAGAAGACAGCUAUGCUAGAGAAAAAAAAAUACUUGUGAUUAAAGAAAUAUUAUAUAGCAAGCUAUAUAGGGCACUGGGGAAAACGGGAAGAGGGAGUAUAUAUUUUUUUCCAGUUGUUACAUUAUCUUCACACAGUCACACAUGUUUGCAGUAAAGUUGACUCAUGAAAAAAAAAGGACCUUGUAAAAAUGUCUGUGUUCAAAGAAAAUCAUUUCUUGUACACUGCAUGCAUACACACAAAUCACUAAUGGUCAACGUUUGUUGUCAAUAGCAGUUUUCCUUACAUUUUCUGUUUGUUUGUUUGUUUUUAUGCAACCAUAAGUAUGAAAUCUUUGAAUCAUGCCAUAUUGGUCAAACAGUUAGAAAGUAAUAUUUCAUGCAGUUAUAUUUUAGAUAACUGAGCUGAUAUAGUAAGGAAAAUAGGUAGAGGUAUGUGUUAGGGGGAAAAAGGAAUAUAUGCAAUAUUUUGUGCCCUUCUCAUUUAACUUCAAAACUCUAUUCUACUCUUCAUGUACAUCUUUGCCAGGUGCUUCAAAACAAGAUGCAAGAACGUACCUACGUACCUACAACUCUUAUGCUGUCUCUUUCCGUAGUUACCGACAGUUAUGUAUUGGCCUAAAUCACUGUACAUGGCACUGAAUUGAUAAGAACUCAGUAAUCUUGGUGUCUAUAAAUACCAUGUCCCUCCUUAUAAGUUUUGUUGAUGGAUUUAGUGAUUUCUGGUAACACUGAGUUUCACAGUUUAGUUACUAUGGAGAGGUAUUUUUGUGUUGGUUUUGAUUUUUGCCCCUUUAGUUUAACGGAAUAUCUUCAUGUUCCAGGGCUGUGAGGUACCGGGACAGAGGCGGCUGAGGUCUCUUCUCUUCAUCCUUCUGCAGCGUGCUCCAGGACAUUGGGUGGCAAGUGCUGCACAGGCUGUCUGCUGUGGGCUGUGUUGUCACUUUGUACAAAGGCAUUACACCAUUCGUUUUAUUCAUCAGUAUGUUCCUCAUGCAUCCUACCAUCUUGGUAAUCCUUUUUUCUCAGUUGCAUAUUUUUCAGAUAUUUCAGUAAAGUUUAUGCUGAGGCAUUAGUGAAGUGUGGCAAAGGGUGAGCUGAUUAGAAAGUGAGUUAAUUUAUUAAAUUUAUUAAAUAUAUUCAAGAUAAGAGAUCUAACCUUUUUUGCUCCCAGAGUGCUUAUAAGAUCACACAAAAGAAACAUACAGUUUUUUUUGUUGUUGUUGUUGUUGCUUUUUCCUUGUUCCUUUGUUUUCCUUCUAUGUAAAAUAAAUUACCCAUGCUGAAAAUGAGCAGUGACAGUGAAAGUACUGGAAAAUCUUAACCAUACGAGAGGCAGUGGGAAUAGGGACCUCUCUGGAGGCACAGGAUACCCUCAGCACUUACUGCAUAUGCCUUGAUUAUUUACUUCUGUUUUAAGGAGCUGCUUGAGUGUCAUUUUUGGUUACAUUGAUUUAACUGUCAUGCUUGAUUUGUGUACAUAUUCUUGUGUUAGCAACUGUACAAAAUUAUAGAGAGAUGAAAAAGAUUCCUGGCACUUCCUCAUAACUAGAGGACAGGUUUGUUAUAUAUCGUUUAUAUCACCAUGACUUUGAAACUACUGGGAAGACGCUCGUGAGACAACUACCAGGUCUGGGCGUGGUGUAUCUCCUCAUCAUAACGCUGGUUGCUGGCUGUGACUGCCCACUUCAGGCCUAAAGCAAAGGUUUGGCAAAUGUAGGAGCAAAGAGAUUCCAGCUGCAGAGUGAGAGCAGCAUCUUAACACAGCAAAACUCCAGGUAGUGAGGCAGGACUUGGCGUUAUUAUGUGCAAUGUCCAAGGGAAUGAGUUGUAAUAGGUGAAAGUUACCAAAUAUUUAUAUCCACUGCAUAUGGAAAACAUAUUCUAAUAUUGUUGCAUAUAUUUCAUCUAAUCAAGUGUGUGUUUGUUUGUUUGUUUCUCCUGGAAGGUACGGGAAUUUAAGUUGGGAGUGGUGAUGGUUUUCAAAGGAGUCAUUAAGUCGUAGUAUAAGAAGUAUUUGAACAAGUUGGCCUAUCCAGUUGGAAUACUGAGAAAUUGGUAGGCAGGUAAGAGAUGUAGAGACAUCCAAAAAUUUUUCCUUUUCCUACAUUACUAAAAGGUUGCAAGGCUUCUGGUUAAUAGGUACUGCAGGGUCAAAAUGCAGUUUUACAUCUUCGAAAGAUUCCAUUAUGCUUUCCUACAGCAAGACCUCGGCAUUACACAAGAGCAGGCUCUUCCUGCCGUCUCAGAAAGACAUUUUACCUACUGCAAACAUGAAAACCAUUCACAAUAAACAGAACUACAAAUGAGUUCUGCAGACUUUGGAUUAGGUACAAAAUGCUGCAGUUUGCAGUGGCUAUCUGUACACUUAAACACAGACGGUAAAGAGUUCUCUUCAGCUUCACUGAGAAACUCUUAUCUAUAAAAAGCUCCAAAAAUCUCCAUUAUUGCUCAGAAAGUGUCAGUAUGGACUAGUAAAACAAGUGUGGGAUUUUUUUUCAUACCUUGGCUGGAAUCACCAUAGUGACUGUCAGUAUGCAAACCUACUUUCCUCUUGGAGCUUGGAGUUAAGAGUUAAGAGAGCUCAAAUCCUGUAUUAUUUUGGGCAGCUGUAAAGGAAAGUAUUUUGCAUUUGGUCAAGUGAAAUUACUUGAGCAUGUAUUUGAAACUGAAAGAGUUUAUGAAACAAAGUGAUCUAUCUUGAAACUAUCAUAGUUUCUUUUCACAAGCUUUAAUAUUUCCCUUAAUUUGAUCAAGGAGGGAGGGAAAUUAUUAUUAAACAAAUGUAUUAAAAAUUAGUUGACUGUAGUUCCAGGGUUUUUUAGGAAACUGAUUAUUGUACAUUUUCAAUGAACCUGAAACGAUUUACUUCUAGAGAGUAAAUCAAAGCCUUGUAUAAUUCAUGUAGUGAUUUGAAAAUAAGGGGUGCAGGAUUUUCUAUCAAAUUUCAGUGGAACAGCUAUUGAGUUUAUGCAAACUGUCAAGGGUUAUUAGGCUUUCUGGUUUUCAUAGUAUUGGAAGCUGAGUUGUUGAAGCCUAAAGCUAAAGGGAACUUAUGCACAUAGCUUGACAGACAAUGGUCAAAAAUAAUGCAAAAAGAGAGUAAAUGAAAGAGAUUACAUAACAUCCAGAAUGUCAUAAAUUACAAUCUUUGAGAGGAGAUGAGGUGAGUUAAAUGAUGUAUUGCUUUGAUUUGUACAUGUAAAAUGAAGCAUGUAUCUACAUACUGCUUUUACUGAGACUUAAACAUAAGGGCAUCUUCAGCAGAGUUAGAGGCCAAGAAUGAUGUCUAGAGCCACAGUAUGAGUGUGCUGCAUUCAGCACUACAAAACAUAAUGCUUUUGCUUCCAGCACAGAGUGAUCCUGGAGAUUUACUUGUUCCAAUUUUACCACAGCUGAAGUUUUCUUUUGAUUCUUGUAAUAAGAAACAUGGGAAUGAUGUUUAUCUUCUGAACAAGACACAGCAAAUGGUAAGAAAGAACAUCCAUUCUGUCGGGUUGUGGCUAUGGAAAUGCUAUCCUACCUGAAAUACCACUAAUCUAUGUUUUAUGACUCAGUGUUCAAUUUAUCCCUGUCCCAGGCAGAGAGUCAGGUUCAUUCUUUCUACCAGAGGCUGACAAGAUGAUUCGCAUUUCUUAUGCUUUUACUUUAUCACUUCUACAAACACGCAGCGAAUUUCAGCAGCUGGCAUGGCUGUUACAGUCCUUCCAUUAUUCACAUUAAAAAGAAAGGAGAGAAGGGAGGAGGGAAUGACUGAGGAAAAAAAAGAAAAAGAAAAAUAACUUUGAAGCCAUUGAGGAAAUAAUUAUACAUUUCUGAAUACAGCAAUUUAAAUGUAUCAUAAAAGGGGUCAAAUAACACUAUAUGUAAAAAAAUAAUAAAUCCAAGUAAGAUGUGCACUUCUCGUUCUGUAAUUUUAUGGUUUAAUCCAUCUGGCUUUUUCUGGGAAGUACCCCAUAAGCGAUGAUUAUUACUAGUGACAGCUGUCAUUUUGUUGAUAGUUCUUCCCAAAUUGCUCAAGGCGAUCAGAUAAACAAGCUUGCUUGCCUACUCUUACCAGUUAUUACUUGUUCUGUUGUGUGUUUUUCUUUUUGUCAGAACUCCCAUCUCUGACCAACACACUCAAGUAUUAAAUUAGGAAAUUCAGACACGGUUUGUGAAAUCUUUAGAGACAAUGGAGUAUUGACUCAUUCAUAUUUUCUACUUUCAAAUAUAUGCAUUAAUGAGAUGUAAAUUCUCUUAAAUAUCACCAUUAUUUUUAUCCAGAAGCCUAUGUAACAAUUCUGUAGAAAGAUCCCCCUGUCAAAUAGGAAAUGGCUACAGACCAUUUAUCUACCAUUUAUCUACUUUAUCUACUUAAUCUGCCUACAGCAGAGGGAAAGUGGUGAUACUUAACAUUUCUUUCAUCUGUUACUUUGAAAAAUAAGAAGUAGUAGUUAAUUAUUUUAAUAGCAAUUCCCUUUUGCCAGGUUCAUUAGAUUAUGCUAUCCCUCCAUAAAGAAAUAAUAAUAAUAAAAAAAAAAGUAUCAGUGGUAGAAAGAUGUAUUGCCUUUACCAAAUGACUCAUUUAUAUUUCAUUGUUUUAAGAGUUUUCCUCUGUACCUAUUUAAUAUAUAAUGUAUAUAUCUAGAGCAUUAUUGAAAUAGAAAACUUGAAAAAAGUUGACUGCAAACUUUUAGUUUCAGAUAAGAUAAACUGCUUUAAUCAGAAAGGAAUUAACAGCUCAGUCUUAGCACAAGCUGAUCAGAUUUUUACAAGUCAUGAGUAAUUGCAUAAAUACUAACAUCUGUUAACAAAAAGCAAGUAUUUGGAAAUGCUUGCAAACAAGAUUGUAGCAGUGGAUUCAUUUGUGUUCUUGCAAGUGAGUCUUACUAUUCAAAUCAACAGUAUUAUGCACAAGUUCUCUGAUGUGAAUCAAAAUAGAAUUUGCAUUGUGUUAUAUAGAACAGAGGACGUGCCUGUGUAUUUCUUCCAUGCUUCUAAUGCUUGACAGCAAAAAACUUAACUGACUACAUCUUGGUUGUUUCUUUACACUUUAGCUUGUUCAGAGACCAGCCUGCUUCAAGCUUACUGUUUGCACAGAGGAUGGAUACAUCUAACAAAGUGGCGAAAAAGAGAUUCAGAUUCUGCUAAUGGAAAGUUUUGGAACAGAAGUGAAUGGUAAAUAUUGCCAUAGUUUGCUCAAAAAUAAGGCAGAACAUUUUCAUUAUUCCUCAGGGACUUUUAUUCAGAACAUGUAAAAGCUGAGAUUGAGAAGGUGAAAGCAGCGAUACAACUGGACUCCUCUUUCCACAUUCUGGCAAUCUUUACAUCAUGGAUGAACUUAUUCUUUUACAGACUGUGGAUACCCGGUAGAGCUGCUACUGCUCAGAGAAGUGCUGUUUGAGACUGAGGAACAGCCCAUCGCUUGCAGUUUCCACUAACAAGCCCAUUCACGAUGACUGGCAAACAAGACCACUUGUUCUGGAAAUAAGAAGCUUGUCUAGGAGGGUGUGCCAGACAAUGAGACAUACAAGAGAUCCACAACUUGAUCCAUGAGGAGUUAGCCAUAAAUGUGAAAGG